GCCGCCCAUUAUUGUAAACAGAACUCAUUGGCAGAACUAAUUGGAUACUAAUGAUUGGAUUAAACAGAACUAAUUGGCAGAACUAAUUGGAUACUAAUAAUUGGAUUAUUUAUGAUUUGGAAAUAAUAUCGCGACGAUUGCUAGUCGCCAUUGGUUUUAAUAUUCC
rnacentral:misc_RNA from 1 species